CCCUUAGAUGUUCUGGGCCGCACGCGCGCUACACUGAUGCAUUCAACGAGUCUAAAACCUGCUCUGAUAGGGGUGGGUAAUCUUUUGAAUGUGCAUCGUGAUUGGGAUAGAUGAUUGCAAUUUUUCAUCUUCAACGAGGAAUGCCUAGUAAACGCGAGUCAUCAGCUUGCAUUGAUUACGUCCCUGCCCUUUGUACACACCGCCCGUCGCUCCUACCGAUUGAAUGAUCCGAUGAAUAUCAUGGAUUGAGGAUGCAAGUAGGUUCGCCUAUCUUCAUCUUCGAGAAGUGAAGUAAAUCUUAUCAUUUAGAGGAAGGAGAAGUCGUAACA
rnacentral:rRNA from 1 species